GUGUUAUUCAGUUUCCACGCAAUUGAAUGUUUUUUUCCUUGCUCUUCCUGUUGUUAAUUUCUACCUUGAUGGCAUUGUGGUCAGAGAAGAUACUUUACAUUAUCUCAAUGUUUUGGAUUUUGUUGGGGAUUGCUCUGUGACCUAAGAUAUGGUCUAUUCUGGAGAACAUUCCAUGUGCGUUGGAAAAGAAAGUGUACUUUGCAGCUGUUGGUUGGAGUGUUCCAUAUAUGUCUAUGAGGUCUUAUUCCACAUGUUGUGGGCAUUCUCUCCUGGCUUGAGUCCACCCUGACCAAAUGCAGAGCGGGCUGGAAGUGUCAGCAAAUCAAUACCCUGUGGGAGCAGCCCUCGGCUGGUGACAGAGGGGGCAGAACAAUGAGUGAUACCAUCAGGAUGGAGGUAGUUGAACAAAACUCAGAUCCAUCUUGUGAAUGAAACCAGGAUGGCAUCAAGAGACCUGCAAGACUUUAAUAAUAGGUCACUUCAUCAUUGAGUCCACCUCAAAGAAGAACCAACAUUCCUGGAAAUCUCUAAACUCUGACCUCCUCCCUAUAAAAAGCUUUAGUUAGCCCUUUUGAGUCAGGCAGAAUUUAGGAGGGGCCUAUCCCUUCUGUCUCUUGAGUACCGGUAUUCAAUAAAGCCCUCUUGCUGCUUACCUCCUCCUGUCUCAGUAUUGGCUUUGCAGCAGAUGGCUUGAAUCCAUGGUUUGUAGUUAACAGUAUGUCCACUGUCGUGGCCACUGUGUAGUGCCUUCCAACCUAGGGUGCUCAUCUUCCAGCGUUAUAUUGGACAACGUUCUGUUGUGAUCCAUAGGGUUUUCGCUGACUAAUUUUUAGAAGUAGAUCACCAGGCCUUUCUUCCCAGUCUGUC